rnacentral:rRNA from 1 species
UACGUAGGGGGCGAGCGUUGUCCGGAAUUAUUGGGCGUAAAGAGCGUGUAGGCGGUUCGUUAAGUUCGAUGUGAAAGCCCCGGGCUCAACCUGGGAAUUGCAUUGGAAACUGGCGGGCUUGAGUGUGGCAGAGGGGGGUGGAAUUCCACGUGUAGCAGUGAAAUGCGUAGAGAUGUGGAGGAACACCGAUGGCGAAGGCAGCCCCCUGGGCUAACACUGACGCUCAGGCACGAAAGCGUGGGGAGCAAACAGG